AGAAAGCAGUAAAUCCAAAGAAGAGGAAAGCAACUGCUGAUGAUGUUUAUGAGCUACAGAUACUGUAUUUGAAGGGAGAAAUGGCAAAGCAGACUAAAGAGAUGAGGAAAUUAGAUCUUCAGAUAGAGUUGCUGGAAGAAAUGAAACGAGACAAAGAGAAUACUCCACUAACAUUUUCUCAACUUUUAAUGAAUUAAAUUAUUUAUUUUUCUUAUCAA